rnacentral:tRNA from 1 species
GGGGAUGUAGCUCAGCGGAAUAGCACCUGCCUGGCAAGCAUCAGGUCCUGAGUUCGAUCCCCGGUAACCCCC